rnacentral:rRNA from 1 species
CGCGUAGGCGGUUUGAUCAGUCGGAUGUGAAAGCCCUGGGCUCAACCUGGGAAUGGCAUUCGAUACUGUCAAGCUAGAAUGUGGGAGAGGCAAGUGGAAUUUCCGGUGUAGCGGUGAAAUGCGUAGAGAUCGGAAGGAACACCAGUGGCGAAGGCGGCUUGCUGGCCCAACAUUGACGCUGAGGUGCGAAAGCGUGGGGAGCGAACAGGAUUAGAUACCCUGGUAGUCC